UACGAAGGGGGCUAGCGUUGUUCGGAAUCACUGGGCGUAAAGGGCGCGUAGGCGGCUUUAUAAGUCGGGGGUGAAAGCCUGUGGCUCAACCACAGAAUUGCCUUCGAUACUGUAGAGCUUGAGACCGGAAGAGGUAAGUGGAACUGCGAGUGUAGAGGUGAAAUUCGUAGAUAUUCGGAAGAACACCAGUGGCGAAGGCGGCUCACUGGUCCGGUACUGACGCUGAGGUGCGAAAGCGUGGGGAGCAUACAGG
rnacentral:rRNA from 1 species